UUCGUCGUUUACUUAUUUCAGCACGACGGUAGACAAUGCCAAGGUUGUCGAGUCGUACAAUUUAGCCUACUUUGCGACAUACGGAAUGAGGCUGUUAAUCUGAAUAUGCGAAAAAACGCGCUUAGAGACUGCUGUAAAGCAUAGAAAAGAAUAACACAAAUUGUUGCAUACGAUACAAGAUAAAUGAAAAGCCAAAGCUUGGAUAAAUGUACUUCGAUAAUAAUUUCUUUCCAUACGUUGCUUUUGUUUUCCCUGAAAACACAGCUUCAAACGCCUGAGAAAAAUGUAUUUCUCAAUUUGAUAUCAAAUGUUUUUCUCAAAUGAUUCUCAAAUUGAAAACGAGGUUUAAAUUUUACAUUUGAAAAUCAUUUGAGGUUGAUUUGAAGAAAGAUGGCAAGUGUCAAACGAUAUUAAAAUGCGCAGUUAAAU